rnacentral:rRNA from 1 species
UACGUAGGUGGCAAGCGUUGUCCGGAUUUAUUGGGUUUAAAGGGUGCGUAGGCGGUCUAUUAAGUCAGUGCUGAAAUAUCCCGGCUUAACCGGGAGGGUGGCAUUGAUACUGAUGGACUUGAGUGCAGUCGAGGUAGGCGGAAUUGACGGUGUAGCGGUGAAAUGCUUAGAUAUCGUCAAGAACACCGAUAGUGAAGACAGCUUACUAGACUGUAACUGACGCUGAGGCACGAAAAGUGUGGGGAUCAAACAGG